rnacentral:lncRNA from 10 species
CACUUAGUGUUAUUUUGAGUGACAUAUGGGGUUUAUAGACUGAAGAAGGUUCCAUCUGUGAUCAUGCUUACCAUGCUGAGUAACUUUUAAGACUGGAAGAAUCGAGAUGAGGAUCCUUAAUGCAUCCAUGUUAAAGAACCUUUGCUUGACUUUUUGAAUUAGUUGUUUUCAUACAAAAUUAACACUUAUUCACGAUUUAAAAAAUUUUUCAAACACUACAAGGGAGAUAUUAAAGUGAAAAGAGAAGUCUCAUCUAUCAGAGGUGGCCACUAUUGUAUUUCUGGCAUGGAUGAGGUGUGAUUAAGCUCAUAGGUGCCCCCAUGUGUCCUUUUCCUUAAAGCAUCAAUGGGAUCUUACCACGUAUUCUGUUCUGCGACUUGCUUUCUUCAC